rnacentral:rRNA from 1 species
UACGAAAGGUGCAAGCGUUACUCGGAAUCACUGGGCGUAAAGCGCACGUAGGCGGACUCGUAGGUCAAUUGUGAAAUACCUGGGCUCAACCCGGGAGCUGCAGUUGAAACCGCUUGUCUUGAAUACCUGAGAGGGUGGGGGAAUACCUGGUGGAGAAGUGAAAUUCGUAGAGAUCAGGUGGAACACCGGAGGCGAAGGCGCCUGCCUGGCAGUGUAUUGACGCUGAGGUGCGAAAGUGCGGGGAGCAAACAGG